rnacentral:misc_RNA from 1 species
CCUCUCUCUCUCUCUCUCUCCCCUCUACUUCCAUCAUCACCGUCAUUUCUGAGCCUCUCCUCUGAAUUCAACUACACACGCACAUACACACUCUCUCUCUCUAAAAAUGGGUUCGGGCUCUAGUCGACUGGGAAGGCGCUCAUCACGGGCCCGAGUGAAUCGCAGUAACCUCUCCAACUUCUUCUCUUCUAUCAUCUGCGGUGGCUCCUCUUCUCGCGCUACUCUUGAGAUGGAAAAUCAUCCAGAUGAAAUUCUGGUAAAUUCUACAAAAAAUUUUGAUCCUGUCACCAAUGAGAUCUGGAAUCUUGCAGAGGAGUCUUCAUUCAAUUCUGGAAUAGGAACAAGGUCUACCAGCUCUGUUGCUGAAAUUGGAGCAUCAUCUGGAAGCAGUGUCACAGUCGGUGAGGGAACCUCUGCUGAAAGUGGUUUGAGAAAUAAUGGAACAAGUAGUCAAAGGAUGUCUGAAAGUAAGGAAUUAGUUACUCCCUAUCAGGUAAGUGAAAAUUAUAGUCAUGAUGAAUCUUGUAGGCAUAGAAGUAGUGCCGAAGCUAGUACUUCAUUUAAAGAACAACAAUCUUCAGAUUCUGUCUCUGUAAAUGUUUUGGCUAACAAGGAUGCAGUCAAUGGCAUUGACAAUUCAGAGGACAAGGAUGGUUCCCAUAUCUGUCCUGAGAUCAUACAUUCGAGCAUUUCAUCUCCUCAAGGGCUUGGAGAUUCACACACUAAUGGGGUUUCUAUUGAGAAUCACUUGGAUGACGUAACAGGCAUGUUUGCUUCUGAUUCUGAUUCUAUACCUCAUAGGUCAGAGGUUCCAGCAACUUUUCACUCUCCAGGAGAUGAAUCUAUACAAGAAGCAAUACCUUCAGGUUUAGGAUUUCUUGUGGCCAAUAGGGAACAGGGCCAGGGAGAUGGAAAUUUACUACAUGUAGAUGUGGUAAGCAUCUCUUCCAGCAUUUUGUCAAGCAGCAAUGCUGACAUGAUUGGUCAUGAGGCUAGAAGGAACAGUAGAAGACUGUUUUGGGAUGCAUUUUCAAGACGUAGUUCUAGAAGGCAUCUUGAUUCUCCAACCAUUGUUUUCUCCAGAGAUAAUAGCGAUGAUCUACUAUCUCAUGAUAGAUGGCUCCUUGAUUUCAGUGAUAAUUUUUUUGAUGAUGGGAUAGGCAGUGAUUCUGGGUACUUGCGCAGUAGAAUUCACAACUUGAAUGGACAAAGGCGACACUCGAGAUCUGAGAUCUUGGAAAGACUUCGCAGUGGCCUUGAUGAGCAUGGUCGGAGAACUACCUUCUGUCCAUCUGGACUCCAUCCCGCUGGUACAUGCUCAUGCGAAUCAUUGCCGACAACUGAGGAGCCUAGUAAUCGUGCAAGUAUAUCACGAAUAGUCAUGCUUGCUGAAGCUCUUUUUGAGGUUUUGGAUGAAAUUCAUCGCCAGCCUGUGUCACUUUCCCUAUCAAUGGUAUCCCUACCAGCUCCAGAAUCAGUUGUUGACUCUUUCCCUCUUAAGAAUCACAAAAAGGAGGACAAAGUUGAGGGCAUUGAUGAUGUUGAACAGUGUUACAUUUGUCUGGCUGAGUAUGAGGAAGGGGACAAAAUAAGAGUUCUUCCUUGCCACCAUGAGUAUCACAUGUUGUGUGUCGACAAAUGGCUUAAAGAGAUACAUGGGUAACCUCAUUCCCAUUCUUUGUAUUUUUUUUCCUUGAUUUUCAUCUACAUGAUUCAUGGUCAUAAUAAAAUUUAACGUUUUCUUUCUCUCUUUAUUUUUGGGUUGAAUUUGCCUUGCAUUUUCUUUCUUUCCCCUUCUCUCUAUUGAAUGCUUUACAGGGUGUGCCCACUCUGUCGAGGGGAUGUUCGUCAGGGUGCCAAUGAGGCUUCUGUCUCUGCCAUGGAGUCUUCUGUCCCUAAUCCAGAAGUCCCUUAUAUUUGAUAGAAUUGUAUAUAUGAAUGUAAAUACCAACCCACCACCAAUGUGCUCAAUUUACACAUUUUAGCAUCAUAUUCAAAAGGUGUCAUCCUGUAGAAUUCUAUAGAAGGCGUUUUAUGGCUUAAUAUUUGGUUCCAUUUUAUGGUUCUCUGGUGGCAUUGUGUAGAAUAGUAAAUCAAGCCUAAUCAUGAUACAGCAGGAACAGGGGUGUAUAGGAAGGUGCAAGCCCCAGUGCCAUAGAGACUGCAAGUAGGGGCGAAACUAGGAUUUUAAAUCAAGAGGACAAAAUUUUAAUGUUUUUUCAUCCAUCUAUAAUACAUGUGUGUGUGUGUGUGGUGGGGUG